rnacentral:rRNA from 1 species
UACGUAGGGAGCAAGCGUUGUCCGGAAUCAUUGGGCGUAAAGCGCGCGUAGGUGGCCCCAUAAGUCCGCUGUGAAAGUCAAAGGCUCAACCUUUGAAAGCCGGUGGAUACUGUGGGACUAGAGUACGGAAGAGGCGAGUGGAAUUCCUGGUGUAGCGGUGGAAUGCGCAGAUAUCAGGAGGAACACCAAUAGCGAAGGCAGCUCGCUGGGACGUUACUGACGCUGAGACGCGAAAGCGUGGGGAGCGAACAGG